UACAGCUUAGUUGGUAGAGUGUUUGCCUCGCACGCACAAGGCACUGGGUUCAACCCCCAGCAUUGAAA
rnacentral:tRNA from 1 species